rnacentral:lncRNA from 1 species
CGAGGAUGACAACUCAGGGAUCGGUCUCUGGGGCUCAAGAAGAAUCGCCCGACGGGCUACUCGGGCCCAGCCUUCGCCCCGCAGCCCACGCCGCCCUCUCGCUUCCCGGGGCCUCCGCGCUCCCUUCCUCCUCACACCUCUACUUCCUCACCUCCGCUCCUGCCUCCGCGCCUUCCUCCCUUUCGGUUUUAUUUUUACUUUCCACGCCGGAUGGGAGCGAGGGCAGGGUCGAGGAUGCCAGCGGGCAGUAGCAACGCCAAGCCCUCGUCGGCAUCCGGCGCCUGAACCUCUGGGGUCGCUCUCAAUCGAACUCUGCCACGCACGAAAGCUGCCAGACACCGGAACAACCUCCCCCCAGAACCAGCCGAGCAGGAACCGGCGGGUUCGGCGCCGGCCUGAACGUCGCCCGCCCGCAGCGUCGCCAACGUCGGCACGUCGGCUCCCUCCCACCCUCCCACGGUCCGCUAGCGUGCGCGCGCCGCUGGUCCGCCUCCAGCGCUCAAGGAGAGGAAGCUGGGAGGGGCCGGCCUGCGGGGUGGGGCCGGAUGCCUCUGGUCCCGGGCGUUGGGGGUCUCGCGGGAAUCCGCAGAGUGCUGACUUGCGGCUCAGGCUCACAACCCGGAAUCCUUCCCUGCGGUUACCUGAGUAUGCUGUGUAUUCUUCACGUCCUUUUCUGCAACAUGAGCACUUGGGAGAAAUAACUCCUAUUAAAGGUCUCCACCCACGAGACCAGUGGAGAGCUUGACUCGGAGAUCAAUGAAACCUCCCUAACAAGGGUGUCAGAGUGGCAUGCUGCCAGUGGGGACCAGAGCAAGGUGGAGAGUGAAAAUGAGCCUCCUGAGGACAGGAAAAAAAGCAGCUCACAGAAGAUAUUCAAACGGGACAGAGGGCAGAAGCAGCUUGGCCAGAGCUUGGUGCAUGGUCACCUGGAGAGGCAAUGGUCAGUCCCCUGCCCUUCUCUGCAGGAAUUCCAAAGCUUCCACUGCAGCCUCCAGGCCUGGGACCAACUGGUCAACAGCAUCAGGAACUGUACCUGCUACAUUAGCAGUUCUAGCUUCUGGCCCAGAAUCGCCACCUGAGGGAGAAACAUCUAAAGAGCUGGAGUCUCCUUUGAAAGAACUGAAAAUUUCCAGUGUUAGGUGCAGCACCCGGAGCCUUGGCCACUCUACCUCCUGCAUGUUCAUCUUCUGGGCUGGAAGAAGCACAGACAGAAGGGUCAGAUAUGUGGCUGGACCCCAUACCAGCCCCGGCUGCAACAUCACCAUUCAUAGAAAGGUCAGCUGACAAGCUCGCUCUUCCCAAGGCACCACAUGAUGCUGAAGCUCCCCUUCUCCAGCUUGAGAAUGACAAAGGAAAGGAGACUUCCUUUCCCUCUCCUGAGAGUGCCUCUUUGUUUCUGUCUCUAACUUUUUUUUGUUGUUUUUUAUUUUUUGUAUGG